rnacentral:sRNA from 1 species
UUCCGCUGGAUGAGGCCUCUCCAGUGCCGA